rnacentral:rRNA from 1 species
AUCUGCCUGGUAGUGGGGGAUAACGUUCCGAAAGGAACGCUAAUACCGCAUACGUCCUACGGGAGAAAGCAGGGGACCUUCGGGCCUUGCGCUAUCAGAUGAGCCUAGGUCGGAUUAGCUAGUUGGUGAGGUAAUGGCUCACCAAGGCGACGAUCCGUAACUGGUCUGAGAGGAUGAUCAGUCACACUGGAACUGAGACACGGUCCAGACUCCUACGGGAGGCAGCAGUGGGGAAUAUUGGACAAUGGGCGAAAGCCUGAUCCAGCCAUGCCGCGUGUGUGAAGAAGGUCUUCGGAUUGUAAAGCACUUUAAGUUGGGAGGAAGGGCAGUAAGUUAAUACCUUGCUGUUUUGACGUUACCGACAGAAUAAGCACCGGCUAACUUCGUGCCAGCAGCCGCGGUAAUACGAAGGGUGCAAGCGUUAAUCGGAAUUACUGGGCGUAAAGCGCGCGUAGGUGGUUCAGUAAGUUGGAUGUGAAAUCCCCGGGCUCAACCUGGGAACUGCAUCCAAAACUGCUGAGCUAGAGUACGGUAGAGGGUGGUGGAAUUUCCUGUGUAGCGGUGAAAUGCGUAGAUAUAGGAAGGAACACCAGUGGCGAAGGCGACCACCUGGACUGAUA